rnacentral:rRNA from 1 species
UAAGCGUUGGAAACGACGUCUAAUACUGGAUACGAGCUUCAGCCGCAUGGCUAGGAGCUGGAAAGAAUUUCGGUCAAGGAUGGACUCGCGGCCUAUCAGGUAGUUGGUGAGGUAAUAGCUCACCAAGCCUACGACGGGUAGCCGGCCUGAGAGGGUGACCGGCCACACUGGAACUGAGACACGGUCCAGACUCCUACGGGAGGCAGCAGUGGGGAAUAUUGCACAAUGGGCGAAAGCCUGAUGCAGCAACGCCGCGUGAGGGACGACGGCCUUCGGGUUGUAAACCUCUUUUAGUAGGGAAGAAGCGAAAGUGACGGUACCUGCAGAAAAAGCACCGGCUAACUACGUGCCAGCAGCCGCGGUAAUACGUAGGGUGCAAGCGUUAUCCGGAAUUAUUGGGCGUAAAGAGCUCGUAGGCGGUUUGUCGCGUCUGCUGUGAAAACUGGAGGCUCAACCUCCAGCCUGCAGUGGGUACGGGCAGACUAGAGUGCGGUAGGGGAGAUUGGAAUUCCUGGUGUAGCGGUGGAAUGCGCAGAUAUCAGGAGGAACACCGAUGGCGAAGGCAGAUCUCUGGGCCGUAACUGACGCUGAGGAGCGAAAGCAUGGGGAGCGAACAGGAUUAGAUACCCUGGUAGUCCAUGCCGUAAACGUUGGGAACUAGAUGUAGGGACCAUUCCACGGUUUCUGUGUCGCAGCUAACGCAUUAAGUUCCCCGCCUGGGGAGUACGGCCGCAAGGCUAAAACUCAAAGGAAUUGACGGGGGCCCGCACAAGCGGCGGAGCAUGCGGAUUAAUUCGAUGCAACGCGAAGAACCUUACCAAGACUUGACAUAUACGAGAACGGGCUAGAAAUAGUUCACUCUUUGGACACUCGUAAACAGGUGGUGCAUGGUUGUCGUCAGCUCGUGUCGUGAGAUGUUGGGGUUAAGU